UACGGAGGAUCCAAGCGUUAUCCGGAAUCAUUGGGUUUAAAGGGUCCGUAGGCGGUUUAAUAAGUCAGUGGUGAAAGCCCAUCGCUCAACGGUGGAACGGCCAUUGAUACUGUUAGACUUGAAUUAUUAGGAAGUAACUAGAAUAUGUAGUGUAGCGGUGAAAUGCUUAGAGAUUACAUGGAAUACCAAUUGCGAAGGCAGGUUACUACUAAUGGAUUUGACGCUGAUGGACGAAAGCGUGGGUAGCGAACAGG
rnacentral:rRNA from 1 species